rnacentral:rRNA from 1 species
UACGUAGGUGGCAAGCGUUGUCCGGAUUUACUGGGCGUAAAGGGCUCGUAGGCGGCCAACUAAGUCAUACGUGAAAUCCCUCAGCUUAACUGGGGAACUGCGUGUGAUACUGGAUGGCUUGAGUGUGGGAGAGGAAUGCGGAAUUCCAGGUGUAGCGGUGAAAUGCGUAGAUAUCUGGAGGAACACCGGUGGCGAAGGCGGCAUUCUGGACCAUAACUGACACUGAGAGACGAAAAGCCAGGGGGAGCAAACGGG